rnacentral:rRNA from 1 species
UUUUUGGAGAGUUUGAUCUUGGCUCAGGACGAACGCUGGCGGCGUGCCUAAUACAUGCAAGUCGAGCGCUGGAAGCUAAUUUCAUCCCUUCGGGAUGAAAUUAGUGGAAAGAGCGGCGGACGGGUG